AAGAAGAACAAGAAGAGGAAGGAAGAUCGAACAGGUUGUGACUCCCAGGAAGCUUCAACCUAUACACCAUGACGCUUCUGCCUCCCUUGGAAAGCAUUAAGCUACAUGGAAAUCUCAACAAAUUGUCCUGCUAGAGUGGCUACCUUGAUACUAAUGGACAUAAACAUAACCAGGAAUUGGCUUGCAUGGCAAAGUCAGUAUGGAAAGAAGAGGAGAAAAGGUAGGUAUUUUUGGAAUCAUGCAGAGGAGUAGUCAGAAAUUGCCAUUGGGCUGAU